rnacentral:lncRNA from 1 species
AGUCCGGCGGACGAACUUCGCCCACGCCCCCCACCAAGGCUAUAGCCCACCCGUUUUUUGGCCAUUUUUCCGCUGGGGGGUCUUGGCGCCCCGACCUUCAGGGGCUGAUUUUUGGGCGCGGGUGUGCCCGUGGCCUAUUUUUGGCAAACGGAGGCCGCCCGCAGAGUCUGGGGCCAUUCCGAGUCCGGCGGACGAGCUUCGCCCACGCCCCCCACCAAGGCUAUAGCCCACCCGUUUUUUGGCCAUUUUUCCGCUGGGGGGUCUUGGCGCCCCGACCUUCGGGGGCUGAUUUUUGGGCGCGGGUGUGCCCGUGGCCUAUUUUUGGCACACGGAGGCCGCCCGCAAAGUCUGGGGCCAUUCCGAGUCCGGCGGACGAACUUCGCCCACGCCCCCCACCAAGGCUAUAGCCCACCCGUUUUUUGGCCAUUUUUCCGCUGGGGGGUCUUGGCGCCCCGACCUUCGGGGGCUGAUUUUUGGGCGCGGGUGUGCCCGUGGCCUAUUUUUGGCAUACGGAGGCCGCCCGCAAAGUCUGGGGCCAUUCCGAGUCCGGCGGACGAACUUCGCCCACGCCCCCCACCAAGGCUAUAGCCCACCCGUUUUUUGGCCAUUUUUCCGCUGGGGGGUCUUGGCUCCCCGACCUUCGGGGGCUGAUUUUUGGGCGCGGGUGUGCCCGUGGCCUAUUUUUGGCACACGGAGGCCGCCCGCAAAGUCUGGGGCCAUUCCGAGUCCGGCGGACGAACUUCGCCCACGCCCCCCACCAAGGCUAUAGCCCACCCGUUUUUUGGCCAUUUUUCCGCUGGGGGGUCUUGGCGCCCCGACCUUCGGGGGCUGAAUUUUGGGCGCGGGUGUGCCCGUGGCCUAUUUUUGGCACACGGAGGCCGCCCGCAAAGUCUGGGGCCAUUCCGAGUCCGGCGGACGAACUUCGCCCACGCCCCCCACCAAGGCUAUAGCCCACCCGUUUUUUGGCCAUUUUUCCGCUGGGGGGACUUGGCUCCCCGACCUUCGGGGGCUGAUUUUUGGGCGCGGGUGUGCCCGUGGCCUAUUUUUGGCACACGGAGGCCGCCCGCAAAGUCUGGGGCCAUUCCGAGUCCGGCGGACGAACUUCGCCCACGCCCCCCACCAAGGCUAUAGCCCACCCGUUUUUUGGCCAUUUUUCCGCUGGGGGGUCUUGGCGCCCCGACCUUCGGGGGCUGAAUUUUGGGCGCGGGUGUGCCCGUGGCCUAUUUUUGGCACACGGAGGCCGCCCGCAAAGUCUGGGGCCAUUCCGAGUCCGGCGGACGAACUUCGCCCACGCCCCCCACCAAGGCUAUAGCCCACCCGUUUUUUGGCCAUUUUUCCGCUGGGGGGUCUUGGCGCCCCGACCUUCGGGGGCUGAAUUUUGGGCGCGGGUGUGCCCGUGGCCUAUUUUUGGCACACGGAGGCCGCCCGCAAAGUCUGGGGCCAUUCCGAGUCCGGCGGACGAACUUCGCCCACGCCCCCCACCAAGGCUAUAGCCCACCCGUUUUUUGGCCAUUUUUCCGCUGGGGGGUCUUGGCGCCCCGACCUUCGGGGGCUGAAUUUUGGGCGCGGGUGUGUCCGUGGCCUAUUUUUGGCACACGGAGGCCGCCCGCAAAGUCUGGGGCCAUUCCGAGUCCGGCGGACGAACUUCGCCCACGCCCCCCACCAAGGCUAUAGCCCACCCGUUUUUUGGCCAUUUUUCCGCUGGGGGGUCUUGGCGCCCCGACCUUCGGGGGCUGAAUUUUGGGCGCGGGUGUGCCCGUGGCCUAUUUUUGGCACACGGAGGCCGCCCGCAAAGUCUGGGGCCAUUCCGAGUCCGGCGGACGAGCUUCGCCCACACCCCCCACCAAGGCUAUAGCCCACCCGUUUUUUGGCCAUUUUUCCGCUGGGGGGUCUUGGCGCCCCGACCUUCGGGGGCUGAAUUUUGGGCGCGGGUGUGCCCGUGGCCUAUUUUUGGCACACGGAGGCCGCCCGCAAAGUCUGGGGCCAUUCCGAGUCCGGCGGACGAACUUCGCCCACGCCCCCCACCAAGGCUAUAGCCCACCCGUUUUUUGGCCAUUUUUCCGCUGGGGGGUCUUGGCGCCCCGACCUUCGGGGGCUGAUUUUUGGGCGCGGGUGUGCCCGUGGCCUAUUUUUGGCACACGGAGGCCGCCCGCAAAGUCUGGGGCCAUUCCGAGUCCGGCGGACGAACUUCGCCCACGCCCCCCACCAAGGCUAUAGCCCACCCGUUUUUUGGCCAUUUUUCCGCUGGGGGGUCUUGGCGCCCCGACCUUCGGGGGCUGAAUUUUGGGCGCGGGUGUGCCCGUGGCCUAUUUUUGGCACACGGAGGCCGCCCGCAAAGUCUGGGGCCAUUCCGAGUCCGGCGGACGAACUUCGCCCACGCCCCCCACCAAGGCUAUAGCCCACCCGUUUUUUGGCCAUUUUUCCGCUGGGGGGUCUUGGCGCCCCGACCUUCGGGGGCUGAAUUUUGGGCGCGGGUGUGCCCGUGGCCUAUUUUUGGCACACGGAGGCCGCCCGCAAAGUCUGGGGCCAUUCCGAGUCCGGCGGACGAACUUCGCCCACGCCCACCACCAAGGCUAUAGCCCACCCGUUUUUUGGCCAUUUUUCCGCUGGGGGGUCUUGGCGCCCCGACCUUCGGGGGCUGAAUUUUGGGCGCGGGUGUGCCCGUGGCCUAUUUUUGGCACACGGAGGCCGCCCGCAAAGUCUGGGGCCAUUCCGAGUCCGGCGGACGAGCUUCGCCCACGCCCCCCACCAAGGCUAUAGCCCACCCGUUUUUUGGCCAUUUUUCCGCUGGGGGGUCUUGGCGCCCCGACCUUCGGGGGCUUAAUUUUGGGCGCGGGUGUGCCCGUGGCCUAUUUUUGGCACACGGAGGGCGCCCGCAAAGUCUGGGGCCAUUCCGAGUCCGGCGGACGAACUUCGCCCACGUCCCCCACCAAGGCUAUAGCCCACCCAUUUUUUGGCCAUUUUUCCGCUGGGGGGUCUUGGCGCCCCGACCUUCGGGGGCUGAUUUUUGGGCGCGGGUGUGCCCGUGGCCUAUUUUUGGCACAC